GGACAGAAUCAUUGCUGCUUUUACACUAUUUCUAAACACCUUAUUUGAUGAUACACCAGUUGUAAAGCGGGGAAAGGCUACAAGAAAUACCUGAACUUUUCCAUGCUUUCUUUCCAAGAUGAAAUAUCCCAUAUGUAGUUUUCCUCGUUGGUGAGAGAGCAUUCAGAUGUUAUCUGUGUUGCUUUUUUAACUGUCUUUCCACACAGUCCUACGGAGUUUGGAUGUGACUUAAAUAAGGUAACAGAAAGAAAACAGAACUAGCUUAAUGCCUCUUUAAAAACAGUAGAAGGCAAGUGCCUCAUAGUCAGCAUUUUCCUCUUGUGACAUUCUCUGGUGCUUUGAGAUGCAGCUUUCAACCUGGACAUCUUGGGUUUGUCAUCUUUAAUUAGGAUAAUAGCUUGUCAAAGUACUGUACCUCAAUUUCUCCUGCCUGGAAGGUACAGGAAGUGUUCUAGCUGCGGUAGGACGGAGCUCUGUGCUAAUAUAUUCUGAUGAGCAGCUGACUGCAGUGUCGAUAUUUGCAAGUAUGAAAACAAAGUGAAAAAUAUCAACUCAGAAAUCUGAGUGCCUGAGAAACUGUUGUGGGGUUUUUUCUAUAAUUAAAUUGUUAUCUAAGAGUUCCUGUGCCUCUUUAAUGUGCAGAUAAAACCUUUCUCCAUCUGCUGGAAUUUUGACCCUGUAAUCCUCUUAGUUCAGGCCUCUGCUGGGAGACUGAUUCCUUACAUGAGGUUACUUGCUUUCCAUUCGUAACCUUCUCAGGAACAAGCCAUCUGCUUAGAAAGGGACUCAUUCUAUAGGGAUGUAACAUACUGUAAUUUCACAUAAAAACCUCCCAGAUACCUCUUAAACAACAAAUUUGCUGUAUGGAAACACACUGCUUUUUCACUGGUAAUGUGUUUGCUUUUAUGUCAGUUCAAUUAAGUGUUGGCUGUUUUUAUUUUGACUACACUCCUAAGAGUGAAAAUGUUUUAAUCACUUUCAUAGGUUUGAUGCUGACUAAGCCUUUACUAAGUACUCCACUUUAGCUUCCAAAAAUUAGGCUUUUUGUGGAUUAUGAAGAUGAAAAGAAGUAAUUUUUUUUUCACUGUCGUCCUUUGUAAAUUGCUCUUUUAAAGUCUUCUUUAGACAUGGAAUUUUAGAAAGUGUUUUCUCAUCUUAAAUUGGUUUAACAAUCAUCGUGUAAUUAAAGUCACU
rnacentral:lncRNA from 1 species